UACGUAGGGUGCAAGCGUUGUCCGGAAUUAUUGGGCGUAAAGAGCUCGUAGGCGGUCUGUCGCGUCUGCUGUGAAAACUCAGGGCUUAACCCUGAGCUUGCAGUGGGUACGGGCAGACUAGAGUGCGGUAGGGGAGACUGGAAUUCCUGGUGUAGCGGUGAAAUGCGCAGAUAUCAGGAGGAACACCGGUGGCGAAGGCGGCUUGCUGGGCCUUACCUGACGCUGAGGAGCGAAAGCGUGGGGAGCGAACAGG
rnacentral:rRNA from 1 species